GAUCGUGAAAAAGUAUCGAAAGUCACGAUGCGCGUCGAAACCGCAAAGAAACGAUCAAACAUAUUUUCUAGAUUUGCGGAAAAAGAAACGUAGAUGGGAGGAGGGAGGGAGGGAGGGCUCGUCGUCAACGAACGUGAAAGUGUUUAAUCGUGAAAAAUCAUCGUGACAUUUGUAACGAUUCGUAAUCGAAGAGAGAACAAAAUAAAACCGAACAAAUUAAACAAAAGAAAGAAAGAAAGAAAGAAAGAAAGAAAAUUCAAGAGUGAGAGAGUGAGCAACAUUUUACCGAAGUUAACAGGCACAGACGAUGCUUCGUUUUUUAAAUCAAUCGACACAAAAUUCACGUAAAAUAUACAUGAGAGAAACACGGAAAAUCAAUAAUAAGAAUCGUUCGAAAAAAGAAACAACAAGAUGUGUUAUACACAUACAUGUUAAUACGAUAUAGAAAUAUGAUAGGACAGGACGUAGACGGAAUCGUAACGGUACAAGCACACACACAUCGUGUUUUCUCGUUGUUAACUGGCAUGUAUCUUAUUGUUAUCUUAGAACGACCUCUUAAUAACUCUAGCGUCUAUCAUUUUCUUAUUUGUGGCGCGUGUGGCCGCACGCGCCGAGGAUUUACAAAGAUGACGAUAACGGAGAAAUGAAAGAGAAACAAAAUAUAAUAAAGUAGAAAGAGAGACAUCAAGUGAAAGAGAGACAGAGCGAGUAGAACAAGAUAUGGGUGGAUGGAUGGACGGAUGGAUGGAUGGAUGGAUAAAUAGAUAGUUGAAGAUUAAGAUACAGUGAGAAAGUCAAGUUACCUACCUUAAUAGUGUACAUAAUCUCUUUCGGUUACACUGACACCGGUCGGGGAGCUUGCGAUGCAGAUGGGUUGGUACUUGUGCUUCUUCGUUAGAUGCUUCGGCUCUUUAUAUACGCGACCGUACCAACGUGGUACAGUGAAAGGGGUCAUCCCUGCCCUCUUCACAAUGCACUCCUUCUGACCAGUGCAUCUUCGGAAAAAUGCAUCGGGAUAUAUCGAGUACUCCGAGAGCUUUUUCGCAUUGCCACGUGACACAAACUCGAGAAAGAGAGAGAGAGAGAGACAAAGAAAGAGGAAAAAAAGGAAGGUUCCGUGUGCGGUUUUACAUUCUACAAAAAUUACGACGAAAUAAAUGGUUUGGUCGUUCGACGAAUUAGAGAAGGAUUAUUAUUCGCAGCUAAAUGAAAUUUUAAUAUAUUUUAUGGAUUAUAUACAGUUCCAAAUACGAAAACGAGGAAGUAUCUUUUAUUAUUCUCGUGAUGAGAAAAGCGUUAAAAUACACGUUGAUUUGAAUAACAUGAUUCGUAUGUAACGAAACAAUGUAUGAAAUAGACAAAUUGUGUUUUACAAUUAGAAAAAUAUUUGUUUUAGAAAAAAUGAAUUAAUAGAUUUAUACGUAAUAAUAAAUAUUUGUAACACAAUGGACACUAAUGGUAAGUCAAAAAAAUAUUCGACAUAUUUAUUCGAUAAUUUAUUUCACAAUAUUACAAUUACCAGGACAAAUAUGUAUGGAAAAGAAAAAAUAGAUAAAUAAGAGAAAAACGUAAAAUAGUUUAUGUUAAAUUGCUUCUGAGUUACGUAACUGUGCAAAGAAAGAUAGCAAUCUCAGUAAUUUGGAAAUUUCGCGAAGUUUACAUCCGAAAAUAUAACGCCUUGCCAAAUAAAGAGAUAAGGCUUUUAUAAAUUAUUAUAAUGAAGUGGCCAAUAAACCGAUGGCAUGACUUUCAGGAA
rnacentral:lncRNA from 1 species